rfam:Fabibacter misakiensis strain SK-8 scaffold5_cov71_read188, whole genome shotgun sequence.
GGAAAUAUAGCUCAACGGUAGAGCUACUCCCUGUUAAGGAGAAGGUUGUUGGUUCGAAUCCAGCUAUUUCCG